rnacentral:lncRNA from 1 species
AGUAAUGUAUUCCCAAAUUUUUCUAACUCUAAUACCCACUCCCCACCGCUGCAUUGCCUGCACCGCACAUCCCUUCUGGCUUCUUCCCCUCAGUCCCUCAUUCUCUUUUCUUUUUGCCUUGCCUCCUACCGCCUCCGCCAGACGCCAGUGAAGUGACCAGUCCGCGUGAAACCGGCGACGCUGUCUGACUCUCUCCAUCUCCAGUUCCAAAGAGACCGCUGGAUCUGGCCAGCUCCAAGGAAGCCCAGCUCUUGCAGUCUCACUCUCUCCUCUUUUCCGGUGAACAAUUCAAGAAGACUGCGACCCACAAACAUUUUCCUCUCCGUAGUCCGCACCAGGUAUGUGCUUCCUAUAUUUUCACUUUGUUGAGGAAUAUUAUGUCAACCGUUGAAGUUGAUUAGUUCUGAUAUUUUGCAAUAUGGAAAAAUCAUGUAAUAAAACCUAUGUUAAUUGAUGUUUUUCUCUCUUAAUUCUCUUUUUCAGAACUAAAUAUCGUGGGAUUUGAAAGCAAACUUGCUUUCUAAAGUUCAAUUUGAGCAGGCAAACCUUGCUUUUCCUUUUUUCCUAGCUUGUCUAUUUCGUGGGAUGUGGUGAUUUUUGAGGCUUAAUGUUUGAGGCUAAAACUUGUGCAAGUAUUCAAGAGAAAAUUAAAAUCACAUGCAGUAUUAAGUUUCUUCAAGAAUCAUUUCUACGGCAUAUUUUGGUAUUAAUUUUUUACCUUACCACACUUCCUUAUCUUUAUAAAUAUUAUUAUGUGAAUUAAUAGUAUCAACCAUGUUUCCGAAAAAAGAAAAAAAAUAGAAAAAUCGAAAGAGAAGAGGUUCAACCGUGUGUAUUCUUAUCCCUCAAAUAAAUAUAUGUCUAUAUUGAUGGAUCUCGUACCAAAAAAAUUAUGCAUCGAGGGACCUAACACAAUUCUAACACAGCUUCCUUCUUCUGCCAAACUGAUAACAAAAUUCUGUUUGGUAAAUUCUGUUUGGGUCUAGAUGAGUGCAUGUCCACAGCAGUAUUUGGUAAAUUCUGAAAAAGCCUUUAAACUUGUACCAUGUUUAUCUAAUAAAUUCUAUUAUAGACUAAUUGCAGGAUGUCAUCUUUGCCAAGUAAUCCAACAGGACCAAGUAGCACAGCUGAUGAGAAUGAGGUUGCCAAGUCCAACAGGCCCGACCCAGAUUCGGGACCCGUCGGGUGUAGGUCCGGUAGAAACAACAGGGGACCCAUCGGGUAUUCAGGCCGAAUCUAGAACUAAUGUAGUAUAACGGGUCCGGGUCCGGAUUUAUCAAUUUUGGCCCGAACCCGGGCCCGUUGACAGGCCUAUCUGUGUCCAUCUAACGUUGCCGCUUUUAGUCAUUUCUUUUAUUUGAUUUUUAUUUGGUUUUUAAGUAAAUGAAUGUAUAUGGUUUUUGUGGAUAAUCCAUGUAAAUCCAUUUAAUGGUUUUACUUUGGUCAACCAAUUAAAACAACUGCUAUAAAUGGAUAAUCCAAAACCAUUUGAUUAUGCAUUAUAUGGAUGGAUAAGUGGAUAUCAUUCCAGAUUGCUACCUCUAAUCACAAA